GUGAAUCAUCAAAUCUUUGAACGCAAAUUGCGCCUUUUUCGGACGGCAUGUCUGUUUGAGUGCACCAUUUAACAAAUAAUGUGCAUUUCGUGUGCACACGUUGAUGAGCUUUCCACAAUUAUGUAUUAUUAUUUUUGGUGGCGCAUAAUAAACAGCGAGGUGCUUUUUCAGUGAGCGUGUGUAAAAAU
rnacentral:misc_RNA from 1 species